rnacentral:rRNA from 1 species
UACGGAGGAUCCGAGCGUUAUCCGGAUUUAUUGGGUUUAAAGGGUGCGCAGGCGGGAGAUUAAGUCGGCGGUGAAAUUUUGCAGCUCAACUGUAAAAGUGCCUUCGAAACUGGUUUCCUUGAGUGUAGAUGAAGUAGGCGGAAUUUGUGGUGUAGCGGUGAAAUGCAUAGAUAUCACGAGGAACUCCGAUUGCGCAGGCAGCUUACUAAACCACUACUGACGCUCAGGCACGAAGGCGUGGGGAUCAAACAGGAUUAGAUACCCCCGUAGUU